GCCAGCCCGCUCAAGAAACUUAAUGAAUUCGACGGGGCCCGCACAAGCGGUGGAGUAUGUGGUUUAAUUCGAUGCAACGCGAAGAACCUUACCUGGUCUUGACAUCCCGGAGACCCUUAGGAAACUAGGGGGUGCUUCCAUCUGGAAGAAUCUGGAGACAGGUGCUGCAUGGCUGUCGUCAGCUCGUGUCGUGAGAUGUUGGGUUAAGUCCCGCAACGAGCGCAACCCUUGCCUUUAGUUGCCAGCAGUUCGGCUGGGCACUCUAAAGGGACUGCCGGUGUUAAACCGGAGGAAGGUGGGGAUGACGUCAAGUCCUCAUGGCCUUUAUGACCAGGGCUACACACGUACUACAAUGGCCGAUACAAAGGGCAGCGACACUGCGAGGUGAAGCCAAUCCCGUAAAAUCGGUCUCAGUCCGGAUUGGAGUCUGCAACUCGACUCCAUGAAGUUGGAAUCGCUAGUAAUCGUGGAUCAGCAUGCCACGGUGAAUACGUUCCCGGGCCUU
rnacentral:rRNA from 1 species